rnacentral:lncRNA from 1 species
GCCUCCCCCAGGUGCCCACGGCUGGAGCAGGUCCGGCGGGAGGGAAGAGGCGGCCCCGCGGAUUGCGAAUCCUGCCAGGCAGGGGGUGGCGGGAGAGAGAGGGCGAGGUGGCGCGGAGCUCGCCGGAGAACGCGGUGCCCAGGGCUGUCCCGGGAGCCCCUGCCUCAUUUUGUCUGACUUCUAGGAACCUCUACGGCUUUUCGCAUCUGGAGGUGCGGCCCCUAAUCGGCGGGGUCCCCCCGCUACACCUUCCCCACCCCGGCAUUCCUAGCCCGCGCCUAGGGGCGAAGUGCGGGCACGGCGAGGGCCCGCGAGGAAAUCUGCUCUUUCUCCGGCAGCCGCCGCUGCCUCUUUGAUGUUUUGGUACGCCGUGCGCAUGCGCCUCACAUUAGAAUUACUGCACUGGGCAGACUAAGUUGGAUCUCCUCUCUUCAGUGAAACCCUCAAUCCCGUCAAAAACUAAAGGGAUGUGGAGAGUCCGGAAAAGGGGCUACUUUGGGAUUUGGUCAUUCCCCUUAAUAAUCGCCGUCGUCUGUGCGCAGAGGUAAGUGUGUCCAGCGUUUCUCUUUUCCCUUUUUCACUUUGAAGGGCUCUGUCUGCAUACCUCUGUGAUC